GCCUAAAACUUACUUUCCGUUUAUGUAUUUGUUAAUCUUCGCUGGUUUGUUUGUAUAAUUUUAGGGAAAAGGGACUUUUCCUGGGGGGGGGGGAAAUGUGAUUUCGUGGGGGGGGGGGCACAAGGGGGGACUCAUUGUCCCCCCCCCCUUCAGCUUGUAUGUUAAAAAAGGCCCUGAGCACCACAAAGAUCCCUACACGAGAAACAAGAAAUACUAGUUCAACUAACGGCAUCCUACUUCAUGUAACCAAAAGUAAAACUGUUUCUUUUCAAAACAGCUUUUACAUCAGAGCUGCUAAUGUAUGGAACACGCUUCCCGGC